rnacentral:rRNA from 1 species
AGAGUUUGAUCAUGGCUCAGGACGAACGCUGGCGGCGUGCCUAAUACAUGCAAGUCGAGCGGACGAAUCGAAAGCUUGCUUUUGAUUCGUUAGCGGCGGACGGGUGAGUAACACGUGGGCAACCUGCCCUGUAGACGGGGAUAACACCGAGAAAUCGGUGCUAAUACCGGAUAACACGAAAUGUCGCAUGACGUUUCGUUGAAAGACGGCGCAAGCUGUCGCUACAGGAUGGGCCCGCGGCGCAUUAGCUAGUUGGUGAGGUAACGGCUCACCAAGGCGACGAUGCGUAGCCGACCUGAGUGGGUGAUCGGCCACACUGGGACUGAGACACGGCCCAGACUCCUACGGGAGGCAGCAGUAGGGAAUCUUCCGCAAUGGACGAAAGUCUGACGGAGCAACGCCGCGUGAGCGAAGAAGGCCUUCGGGUCGUAAAGCUUUGUUGUUAGGGGAAGAACAAGUAACGCAGUAACUGGCGUUACCGUGACGGUACCUAACGAGAAAGCCACGGCUAACUACGUGCCAGCAGCCGCGGUAAUACGUAGGUGGCAAGCGUUGUCCGGAAAUUAUUGGCGUAAAGCGCGCGCAGGCGGUUCCUUAAGUUCUGAUGUGAAAGCCCACGGCUCAACCGUGGAGGGUCAUUGGAAACUGGGGGACUUGAGUGCAGAAGAGGAAAGCGGAAUUCCAGUGUAGCGGUGAAAUGCGUAGAGAUGUGGAAGAACACAGUGGCGAAGCGGCUCUCUGUCUGUAACUUGACGCUGAGCGCGAAAGCGUGGGAACAAACAGAUUUAGAUACCUUGUAG